GCAGGGCAUCCAUUAACCCGAGACCUCGGGUCAAUGACGCAGCAAAAUUUAAUUUGACGCACGACUUUUGCAUGCCGUGCGUCAAUCUGACGCUUCACAUUUUGACCACCACUGUAAUUAGUCUAUGUGUUGUCCAAUACCCAGGCUCAACAAAGGGUAUAUUUGCUAUGGUCAGUGACACUAAUUAGUAGAAUACUCCUAGGAGUCAAUUAAAAGAGCCACUCAACUGUGACUGAUCCAACUGUCGCUGCCGUUUGCCAAAUUGGGCCAAAGUUGGAGAGGAAGGAGUGAUGAAAAAAAUAUUGCUGUCCGAGGGCACCCUACAGGAUACAAGGCCCAUUCGCUGCUACCAAAAGUAACGUGCACCGGGGUACAAUGGAGCGGUCACCCAUCAAACGACAUCCAACCGCACAACCAUAAAAAGCGGGACUAUGCAGCUGAAAUGCCCAUAUCUAUGAACCAUCGCAAAAACAUCCUGCCUCGCUGGGCCUCGUGCUCGCGACCACUUCCUCUCCGAGUGGACACCCCUGCCACUGGGCUAAAUGGAAAUUCUCGCUAGCCGGGCUAGUCGUGUGACCUUAUACUCUCCAUUUUAAGUUUCAAGUUACUCUGAUAAAGAGUCCGGUUUGAAAUUUUGAAGAACGUAUUUGCAUUUCAACUCAUGUCAACUUUUUAACAUUAAGGUAUAUACCUGCAAUCAUUAUCGAGGUUAAUUUCAAUUAAAUGUGCUUUCAGUACUCAUAAAGAGGAUAAUUUCUAGGAAUAUAUACCACCAUUUUCCAUGAUCAUGUGUCAGAACGCUGUAAUGAGUAGUUUUUGCCCGCCUUAGUUCAAACGUUGCACUCUUUCAAAUAUGGCUUCCUUUUUUGUGCAGACGACAAUAAUUUGCAAUGAAAUCGCUCGUUUCACGCAUGCACAACGCAUAUGGAAACCUCAAGUGACAACUGAUUGGUUGUCGAGUUAUGGAACAAUAUCACGCCAUUUUAUUCUAAAUGACAGGUAAUGUACAUUUCGGGGCGUGGUCUAUAAUGUAAUGGCGGCGUUGUCGGAUAAUUGCGUAAAGUUGGCGGUUUUAAUGAUAUCGAUCUUUGAUAACUUUAUAUGUAUGCAGAGACAUAUAUUUCAGAUAUCGGUUAAAAAGACAACGUCAAAUAUAGACGUCAAUAUUUGUUUGUAGAAUAUGCCAUAUUUAAUUUCCUUAGAACGUUUUGCACAUUAUCAUUUUCAAAGUGAUAUUUUGCCGAAAACAAUUAAAAUAUUUAAGUUACAAAUGUACCAUAGCUACCUACUAGCACCAUAUUUUAAGUUCUCUGAGAUGUAUUAUAUCCGGCCAUAUAUACCGGUGUAUAGGAGAAGACAUACAUGUACAUAGGCCAGAGACCUAUAUACUAAAUUAAAUAAAUUAAUAUACGUGUAGGUCUCUGACAUAGGCUAAGCUCAUCUUUUGUAGAAAUUUCGUUCAAUAAAAUUUGUUGAAAAAGU